AAACCAGCACCUCAAGUGGUCAGGAUGAUUAUUGGGCCUAAAGCAUCCGUAGCCGGCUCUGUAAGUUUUCGGUUAAAUCUGUACGCUUAACGUACAGGCUGCUGGGAAUACUGCAGAGCUAGGGAGUGGGAGAGGUAGACGGUACUCGGGAGGAAGUGGUAAAAUGCUUUGAUCUCUCGAUGACCACCUGUGGCGAAGGCGGUCUACCAGAACACGUCCGACGGUGAGGGAUGAAAGCUGGGGGAGCAAACCGGAUUAGAUACCCUAGUAGUCC
rnacentral:rRNA from 1 species